rnacentral:rRNA from 1 species
UGUGCCCUACGGGGGGCAGCAGUAGGGAAUCUUCCACAAUGGACGAAAGUCUGAUGGAGCAACGCCGCGUGAGUGAAGAAGGUCUUCGGAUCGUAAAACCCUGUUGUUAGAGAAGAAAGUGCGUGAGAGUAACUGUUCACGUUUCGACGGUAUCUAACCAGAAAGCCACGGCUAACUACGUGCCAGCAGCCGCGGUAAUACGUAGGUGGCAGGGUUAUUCCGGUUUAUUG